rnacentral:piRNA from 1 species
UGAAAUGAAUGGGCAUCCAAGUGAGGAAG